rnacentral:rRNA from 1 species
GGGAUAACACUUAGAAAUAGGUGCUAAUACCGCAUAAGCGCACAGCUUCGCAUGAAGGAGUGUGAAAAACUAAGGUGGUAUAUGAUGGAUCCGCGUCUGAUUAGCCAGUUGGUGAGGUAACGGCUCACCAAAGCGACGAUCAGUAGCCGGCCUGAGAGGGCGGACGGCCACAUUGGGACUGAGACACGGCCCAGACUCCUGCGGGAGGCAGCAGUGGGGAAUAUUGCACAAUGGGGGAAACCCUGAUGCAGCGACGCCGCGUGAGUGAAGAAGUAAUUCGUUACGUAAAGCUCUAUCAGCAGGGAAGAAAAUGACGGUACCUGACUAAGAAGCCCCGGCUAACUACGUGCCAGCAGCCGCGGUAAUACGUAGGGGGCAAGCGUUAUCCGGAAUUACUGGGUGUAAAGGGAGCGCAGACGGCAGUGCAAGUCUGGAGUGAAAGCCCGUGGCUUAACUACGGGACUGCUCUGGAAACUGUGCAGCUAGAGUGCAGGAGAGGCAGGCGGAAUUCCUAGUGUAGCGGUGAAAUGCGUAGAUAUUAGGAGGAACACCGGUGGCGAAGGCGGCCUGCUGGACUGUAACUGACGUUGAGGCUCGAAAGCGUGGGGAGCAAACAGGAUUAGAUACCCUGGUAGUCCACGCCGUAAACGAUGAUUACUAGGUGUCGGGG